rnacentral:rRNA from 1 species
AUUGAACGCUGGCGGCAGGCUUAACACAUGCAAGUCGAGCGGAGAUGAGGUGCUUGCACCUUAUCUUAGCGGCGGACGGGUGAGUAAUGCUUAGGAAUCUGCCUAUUAGUGGGGGACAACAUUCCGAAAGGAAUGCUAAUACCGCAUACGUCCUACGGGAGAAAGCAGGGGAUCUUCGGACCUUGCGCUAAUAGAUGAGCCUAAGUCGGAUUAGCUAGUUGGUGGGGUAAAGGCCUACCAAGGCGACGAUCUGUAGCGGGUCUGAGAGGAUGAUCCGCCACACUGGGACUGAGACACGGCCCAGACUCCUACGGGAGGCAGCAGUGGGGAAUAUUGGACAAUGGGGGGAACCCUGAUCCAGCCAUGCCGCGUGUGUGAAGAAGGCCUUAUGGUUGUAAAGCACUUUAAGCGAGGAGGAGGCUCUUUUGGUUAAUACCCAAGAUGAGUGGACGUUACUCGCAGAAUAAGCACCGGCUAACUCUGUGCCAGCCGCCGCGGUAAGAC